rnacentral:rRNA from 1 species
CCUACGGGGGGCUGCAGUGAGGAAUAUUGGUCAAUGGACGCAAGUCUGAACCAGCCAUUUCGCGUGCAGGAAGACUGCCCUAUGGGUUGUAAACUGCUUUUUUAUGGGAAGAAAGUUAGAUAUUGAUAUCUAUUUGCCUGUACCGUAAGAAUAAGGAUCGGCUAACUCCGUGCCAGCAGCCGCGGUAAUACGGAGGAUCCGAGCGUUAUCCGGAUUUAUUGGGUUUAAAGGGUGCGUAGGCGGACUUAUAAGUCGGCGGUGAAAUUCUUAAGCUUAACUUAAGGCUUGCCGUUGAUACUGUUUGUCUUGAGUUUAGUUGAGGUAGGCGGAAUGUGGUGUGUAGCGGUGAAAUGCUUAGAUAUACCACAGAACACCGAUUGCGUAGGCAGCUUACUAAACUAUCACUGACGCUGAUGCACGAAAGCGUGGGGAUCAAACAGGAUUAGAUACCCUGGUAGUC